CUUCCGAGGAGACGCUCACGAGAAGCCUUUGUGACCCCGCAAGGGGUGCCCGCCGCGACUGUAAAGAAGUAAAUGCCGGGCAUUAAAUCGCAAGUCGGCCCGCAGCAGGGCCGGCCACACUUUCGAACUGCGGGGACACCCUAAAGCCGGCCCCUACCAAACCGACCGGGAAACCGAGUCGGCGGCCGCUGUUAACCGCAGCGGGUACGGUAAGAACGGGGCCGGAUGGACAACAAUGGGCCAUCCGCAGCCGAGUCCCUAAGGCCUCCGCGGCACGGGAAAGGUUCACAGACUAGGUGGAAGUGGGCCGUCGGCGCAAGAAGCGCCUUCGGCUUAAGAUAUAGUCGGGCUCCGCGGGAAACCGAGGAGGAGUCGCUCGAGAAUAGAGUAACGCGCAAACGUUCCGUAGGUGAACCUGCGGAAGGAUCAUUAAAAAGGUCUCUGACCAAAACCCUUUGGUCCGGUCCGCCGGCCAGAGUUCAACCACAGUGGUACACCUUUUUUGCUUCGGCAGCAGGUCGUUGACGCGAGUCACCGGCCGUGAGCCUGCCGGCGGCGCCAAAUCAAACCUGUUUUGAAAACCAGUCUGAACUAAUGAUUUCUUGAAUGAAAAUCAAAACUUUCAACAACGGAUCUCUUGGUUCUCGCAUCGAUGAAGAACGCAGCGAAACGCGAUAGUUAAUGUGAAUUGCAGAAUUCAGUGAAUCAUCGAGUCUUUGAACGCACAUUGCGCCCCUCGGUAUUCCGGCGGGCAUGUCUGUUUGAGCGUCAUUACGAACCCCCUCGGCCGGUCGCUUUUCAGUCGUCUGGCCGGUGCUGAGCCCGCCCGACCGCCUCUCCGGAGGCGCGGCCGGCUUUAAACCGGACGCUACGCGAGCGGUCUGACCGAAAGAACAUAGUAGAUUCGUUUCCGCUGUUCCUCCAGGUCGCGGCCCGCUUCGCCUGAACAAAACCGAUCACAAGGUUUGACCUCAGAUCAGACAAGGAUACCCGCUGAACUUAAGCAUAUCAAUAAGCGGAGGAAAAGAAACCAACCGGGAUUGCCUCAGUAACGGCGAGUGAAGCGGCAAGAGCUCAAAUUUGAAAUCUGGGACCUUCGGUCUCCGAGUUGUAAUUUGAAGAGGAUGCCUCGGUUGCAGCCCCGGCCUAAGUUCCUUGGAACAGGACGUCGCAGAGGGUGAGAAUCCCGUACGCGGCCGCGGGCUUGCUUCCACGUGUGGCUCCCUCGAAGAGUCGAGUUGUUUGGGAAUGCAGCUCAAAAUGGGUGGUAAGUUUCAUCUAAGGCUAAAUACUGGCGAGAGACCGAUAGCGCACAAGUAGAGUGAUCGAAAGAUGAAAAGCACUUUGAAAAGAGAGUUAAACAGUACGUGAAAUUGUUGAAAGGGAAGCGCUUGCGAUCAGACUCGCGCGCGGUUGAUCAACGUUCCUUCUGGUUCGUGCACUCUGCCGCGCUGCGGGCCAGCGUCGGUCGGGACGGCGGGACAAAGGCUCCGGGAAUGUGGCUCCCCUCGGGGAGUGUUAUAGCCCGGCGCGCAAUGCCGCCAGCCCCGACCGAGGUCCGCGGUUUUACCUAGGACGCUGGCUUAAUGGUCGUAAGCGACCCGUCUUGAAACACGGACCAAGGAGUCUAACAUCCACGCGAGUGUUUGGGCGUCAAACCCAUGCGCGCAAUGAAAGUGAACGGAGGUGGGAGCCCUCGGGCGCACCAUCGACCGAUCCUGAUGUCCUCGGAUGGAUUUGAGUAGGAGCGUGGCUGUUGGGACCCGAAAGAUGGUGAACUAUGCCUGAAUAGGGUGAAGCCAGAGGAAACUCUGGUGGAGGCUCGCAGCGGUUCUGACGUGCAAAUCGAUCGUCAAAUUUGGGUAUAGGGGCGAAAGACUAAUCGAACCAUCUAGUAGCUGGUUCCUGCCGAAGUUUCCCUCAGG
rnacentral:rRNA from 1 species